CAGCGAUGCCCCGUUCCCCGACCGCGGCCGCUUCUCCAGGACCCGCGGCGACGGCAAGAAGGCGAGAACUGAGGCCCCAAGUGGCUCCGCGGCCGGCGAGCCUCUUCCCGGGGCGGUCGCUGACAGGCAGCUGAAGAGACGAAGGUGGCGCGGGGCCAGCCCGAGGCAGAAGCUAAGGGACCACGUGGCUGAGAGACUGAGGACUUGAGAGAGAGUUGGCUGCUGUCUGAGGAGGGGUGUUGACAUGGACCGAUGACUAUAUCCUUACUGUUUGCUGAUCCUGACUCGUGGUAACCUAGUAACUUUUAAUAAACCCCUUUAACUGAGAAAGAAAAAAGUGCCCCAAGAUUCAAUGAGAUGAUGACUUUUACAAAACCUUGAGUCUUCUGAAGCCAGAAAUCCAAGCAGUAGUCUCAGCAAUCUGCAUACCCGCCCUCUUCGUCUGAGGCCUUGGGCUGUCUUACCAUUUAACCAGCCAGGCUUCAUCUCAGGGUGCCUUCAUGAGGAUCACUUUUCUGUGUAAACUGAAAACCCCGAUGCAACAGACUGCGAUUUGACUAAACAUCUAUCUGAAGACACUGCCACUUAAAUUUGUAGUCUUGUCUGGUCCUGUUAUGUCCAGCCAUGCCAACCCCACUGUAUAGUUCAACGUAGCCAUCAAUGACGUCACACACCACAAUGGCACUGGCCGCAAGUCCAUCCAUGGAGAGAAAGUUGAGAAUAAGAACUUCAUCCUGGAGCACACAGGUCCUGGCAUCCUGUCCAGGGCACAUGCUGGGCCCAAUACGACGGUUCCCAGUGUUUUAUCUGCCCACUCAGAUGGAGUGGUUGAUGGCAUGCACGUGGUCUUUGGUCAGGUGGAAGAAGGCAUGGACACUGUGGAAGCCAUGGGGCAUUUGGGGUCAGGAAUGGCAAGACCAGCAAAAAGAUCACCAGUGCUGACUGUGGACCAUCCUAAUACAUUUGAUCUGUAGUUCAUGUUUUAUCCUAAGCACCAGACCGUUCCUUGUGCAGCUCGGGAAACCACCCCUCUAUUCGCAAUGUGCUUGCAGGCUCGGUUACUCCUGGUGUUCUCACUCCAGCUCUUUGGGUUUCCUCCUUUCCUUGUUGCCCCUAAGUCCAGCUGGCAAGCAGAGUUAAGUGUAUGAUGAUGAAAUAUAAGUUAAACAUUAAAAAUAUAUAUAUAUAUUGGGGGAGGGGGUCAACAUUAUUACAUAUAGACAUCAUAUUCCGUUUGGGGAGGGUUAUUAUAAGAGCCCUGAUGACAUAGUGGAUUGCUUGUUGGGCGGCUAAAGGCAGUCAGCAGUUCAAAUCCACCCGCUGCGCCAAAGAAGAAAGAGGGGACGCUCAGCUCCUUUAAAGAGUCGCAGGCUCAGAAACCCAAAAGGGGCAACUUCAACUCUGACUCAU